rnacentral:rRNA from 1 species
CCUACGGGCGGCAGCAGUGGGGAAUUUUGGACAAUGGGCGAAAGCCUGAUCCAGCAAUGCCGCGUGCAGGAUGAAGGCCUUCGGGUUGUAAACUGCUUUUGUACGGAACGAAACGGUUCUUUCUAAUAAAGAGGGCUAAUGACGGUACCGUAAGAAUAAGCACCGGCUAACUACGUGCCAGCAGCCGCGGUAAUACGUAGGGUGCAAGCGUUAAUCGGAAUUACUGGGCGUAAAGCGUGCGCAGGCGGUUAUGUAAGACAGUUGUGAAAUCCCCGGGCUCAACCUGGGAAUUGCAUCUGUGACUGCAUAGCUAGAGUACGGUAGAGGGGGAUGGAAUUCCGCGUGUAGCAGUGAAAUGCGUAGAUAUGCGGAGGAACACCGAUGGCGAAGGCAAUCCCCUGGACCUGUACUGACGCUCAUGCACGAAAGCG